rnacentral:tRNA from 1 species
GUCUUUGUAGUAUACCGUAUUACCUUGGUCUUGUAAACCAAAAAUGGAGAAUACAACCCUCCCUAAGACU